rnacentral:rRNA from 1 species
GACAGAGGGGGCAAGCGUUGCUCGGAAUUACUGGGCGUAAAGGGCGCGUAGGCGGGAUGGCAAGUCGGUCGUGAAAUCCCUCGGCUCAACUGAGGAUCGUCGAUCGAUACUGCCGUUCUUGAGGAUUGCAGAGGAGACUGGAAUUCCCGGUGUAGCGGUGAAAUGUGCAGAGAUCGGGAGGAACACCGGUGGCGAAGGCGGGUCUCUGGGCAAUUCCUGACGCUGAGGCGCGAAAGCGUGGGGAGCAAACGGG